CUCUCUCUCUCUCUCUCUCUCUUGCUCUAUAUAUCUCAUUCUCACUCUCUUUAUCGCACUUUCUCUCUCUCAUAGGUCAAUUUUCUUGUUAUUUUCUAGGCAACCAAACAGAAUUCAAUCGCUCCCUCUCUCUUGCUCUAUUUCUCGUUUUCGCUCCUCAUAGAUUUGGGCGGUUGAUUUUCCUAUUAUUUUCUAGGCAACCAAACGAAUUCUCGACUCAAAGUUUCGAUUAUUCUCCCUCCAAUUAGGUGCAUUGGAAGUUCAGCUCAAUGAAUGGUCAAGGAGAGGUCAAAUUUCACUAUUUGUGGGAUUGAAAGCUAGAACGUGUGUGAGUUCAAAUCACAAGUGCUUGUUAUGGAUCUUGUGCAACACCUCAAGACUUUGAAAUCUACGCUCACAAUGCUUCUUUCGAGGAUCCACUCAUGUGUGCUAAUGGCACUUUGAAGGUGAAACUCUUGAGCGGUUUCUAGUUGGAGGUCAUAUUACCAGUUGGUGCAUGGAUCUUGUUUCUAGCAAAAAUUUUCUCAUCAUUUUGCAAUCAAUAUUCUAUCAAAGCUAUAUGGAAAAAUAGAUCGUUACUUCCAAAUUGUUUGAAUAAGUUGCUUCUUUGUAAAAUUUUCACUUUCAGUCUAUUAUUGAACUAUUUCUGUAGGAAUUAUGUGACAAUUAAAACACAGAUCCCAAUCUUUUACCCCAAAUAAUUUAAAUAAAUGCAUUUAAGAUAUGAAGGAUUCUUAUUUUAAUAUAUCGAAAGCCCUUUUUCACUCUUUCACAUGCUAAGGGAUUAAAAGAAUAAUUUGCUCCAAAGCCUAUACUAUUUUUACUACUAGAAUUCAAUUCUCUAUGAUGUUUUGGAGGUUUAUAUUUUCUGAAAAAAAGAAAAAGAUAAUGAGCCAUGUCUCAAUUUCCAGUCAAUAUUUGAUGUAUUGCAAAGGAUUCAUCAAAAUUCUUCUUAUUCUUAUGGAUUUAUUAAAAUUCUUCUUAUUCUUAUCGACAAGUACUGAACAUUUUACUUGGUAUCAUUGAUUAAUCUGAUGCUUACUUCUAUGAAGUAGUCUGUCUUACAUAAUUUAUAUUUAUUGAUUUUGCAAGAUGAAGCAGAUAAAAUCAACAUUCUACUCACUUUUCAAGGUUUGAUUUUUAUGUCUGUAUUGGUUAUUGUUUUGCAUAUUCUCCCCUUUAUACAUUAGCUUGCCACCCUUUUAAUUUGGAUAUCAUAUAUGUGAGUUGUGAUAAAGGUGUUAUGAUAUAAUCUUUGAACUAGAAGGUUGGAGAUGUCAGCUUCUCAAGCCAUGCUUUGAUGGUCUGAGAUACUCUUUUAUGUGCUUCCUGCUUGGCCUACCCUAAUUCCCAAACAAGUAUAGUCAAACAUUUUAUUUUAAUAGUUGUUUCAGUACUGGGGGCAUUCAAAAGUGAUUUGGUAUUGAUCUUUGCCACAAUUUUGCAAGUUAUAAAAAUUAUUGUGAAAAAAAGUUAUGCUCUUAGCCUAACUCAUUCCUAAAUAGCUUUUUUGAAGUUAAAUUGUUAGUCUUCAUUGCCAAUAUGCACUACGAAAUGUUAAAUGCUAUUGUCUUAAUGGUUUAUUUAUUGUUUGAACAUUACAAAUGGUUUAUGCAUAUCAACUGUAAACUCUUUUUCUUGCUUCCUUAGUCACAAAUGCUAGGCACUCUUCCAUUAUUAAUACUAAACAACUUUUGACACCACUCACUGUAAAGUAGGUUUAGGUAAUUAGGUAAUGACUGCCUUAACACUUUUUAAGGCUGUGGAGGGACGAGGGUGGAAUGGGACCAUCUGAAUUUACAUAAAGGAGAGCCAUUUUUUUUUUUCCAAGAUGAAACUUUUUUCUUUAUUUUAUUUUAUUUUUUACUUUGGGCAUGCAGCACUUGGAAUAACACCUGCCUCUAUUGUGUUUAAUUUUUUAUAUUUCUUUUUAUAUGGAAUUGAGUUUUUGACAACACCCCCUCCUGAGGGAAUAGGACCCUCUGGAUUUACAUUAAGGAGAUGAAUCAGAGCAAUGGAGAUGAUUUGAAAACACCCAAGGAAAUUAGCCUUGGAAUUAUUGGAAACCUUGCCUGCCAUGAAGCUCUGUUGAAGCAUAUAGUUUCUACAAAUGGAUUGAUUGAGAUAUUUGUGGAUCAACUAUUCUUAGAAGAUUCUCAGUGCCUUUGUGAAGCUUGCUGGUUGUUAACUUUGGGUAUUCAAAGUAGUGAAUGCAUUACAUGGGCUAAAGCAUUGUAGUUUGAACAUGUUAUAUACUAUAUUUUAUGGAUUGUGGAAAAUACCCUAAAUCUCCAGCUUAUUGAAAAGAGUGUUGGACUAUUAUUAGCCAUCAUUGAAAGUCAGCUGGAAGUUUUGCAUGUACUUCUUCCGCCUUUGAUGAAACUAGGUUUACCAAGUUUAUUGGUUAAUCUCUUGACUUUUGAGAUGAGCAAAUUAAUGAGUGAAAGAAUACCUAAAAGGUUGUCUUUGAUGCACCCAAUGGUGUAAUAUCUACAAUGAAACCUGGAGCAAAUUGGGUGGUGAUGCACGUGUUAAAGUGGAUGUAUGUGCCUUAUGGAGUAAGGAAAAUAUUGGAGGGAUGGGGUUGUCCUCUACGUGGAAGUACAUGAAGAAAGGAUGCAUCAUCAUUUUUUUCAAUGAUACUAGCAUUUGUCAUCGGCCUGGCCUUCUUGUUGGGAAGUGGCACUUCUUCAUAUAUCUGUUACUCGAGGAUAAUUGAUGGAGCACAGUGGUUUUCAAUUUUUUUUUUCUUUUAAUUAGCCAUUUUGAAAACUUGGAACCAUUUGAAUACUUAAAAAUUAGGCUGGUGCUUUGGUUUUUAUAUGAGAAUGGAGUUUAAUUUGGAAUUGCACAA